rnacentral:ncRNA from 1 species
GUGUUGUAUGAAAGGAGAGAAGGUUAGCACUCCCCUUGACAAGGAUGGAAGAGGCUCUCGGGCUGCAUGACACGCAUAAGGCAUUGCCACCUACUUCGUGGCAUCUAACCAUCAUUUUUA